rnacentral:rRNA from 1 species
AUUGAACGCUGGCGGCAGGCCUGACACAUGCAAGUCGAGCGGAUGAGGAGAGCUUGCUCUCUGAUUCAGCGGCGGACGGGUGAGUAAUGCCUAGGACUCUGCCUGGUAGUGGGGGACAACGUUUCGAAAGGAACGCUAAUACCGCAUACGUCCUACGGGAGAAAGUGGGGGAUCUUCGGACCUCACGCUAUCAGAUGAGCCUAGGUACGAUUAGCUAGUUGGUGAGGUAAAGGCUCACCAAGGCGACGAUCGUUAACUGGUCUGAGAGGAUGAGCAGUCACACUGGAACGGAGACACGGUCCAGACUCCUACGGGAGGCAGCAGUGGGUAAUAUUGGACAAUGGGCGAAAGCCUGAUCCAGCCAUGCCGCGUGUGUGAAGAAGGUCUUCGGAUUGUAAAGCACUUUAAGUUGGGAGGAAGGACAGUAAGUUAAUACCUUGCUGUUUUGACGUUACCGACAGAAUAAGCACCGGCUAACUUCGUGCCAGCCGCCGCAGUAAGAC